GCUUAACACAUGCAAGUCGAGCAGGGAAGGGUAGCUUGCUACCUGACCUAGCGGCGGACGGGUGAGUAAUGCUUAGGAAUCUGCCUAUUAGUGGGGGACAACAUUCCGAAAGGAAUGCUAAUACCGCAUACGCCCUACGGGGGAAAGCAGGGGAUCUUCGGACCUUGCGCUAAUAGAUGAGCCUAAGUCAGAUUAGCUAGUUGGUGGGGUAAAGGCCUACCAAGGCGACGAUCUGUAGCGGGUCUGAGAGGAUGAUCCGCCACACUGGGACUGAGACACGGCCCAGACUCCUACGGGAGGCAGCAGUGGGGAAUAUUGGACAAUGGGCGAAAGCCUGAUCCAGCCAUGCCGCGUGUGUGAAGAAGGCCUUUUGGUUGUAAAGCACUUUAAGCGAGGAGGAGGCUACCGAGAUUAAUACUCUUGGAUAGUGGACGUUACUCGCAGAAUAAGCACCGGCUAACUCUGUGCCAGCAGCCGCGGUAAUACAGAGGGUGCGAGCGUUAAUCGGAUUUACUGGGCGUAAAGCGUGCGUAGGCGGCUUUUUAAGUCGGAUGUGAAAUCCCUGAGCUUAACUUAGGAAUUGCAUUCGAUACUGGGAAGCUAGAGUAUGGGAGAGGAUGGUAGAAUUCCAGGUGUAGCGGUGAAAUGCGUAGAGAUCUGGAGGAAUACCGAUGGCGAAGGCAGCCAUCUGGCCUAAUACUGACGCUGAGGUACGAAAGCAUGGGGAGCAAACAGGAUUAGAUACCCUGGUAGUCCAUGCCGUAAACGAUGUCUACUAGCCGUUGGGGCCUUUGAGGCUUUAGUGGCGCAGCUAACGCGAUAAGUAGACCGCCUGGGGAGUACGGUCGCAAGACUAAAACUCAAAUGAAUUGACGGGGGCCCGCACAAGCGGUGGAGCAUGUGGUUUAAUUCGAUGCAACGCGAAGAACCUUACGUGGUCUUGACAUAGUAAGAACUUUCCAGAGAUGGAUUGGUGCCUUCGGGAACUUACAUACAGGUGCUGCAUGGCUGUCGUCAGCUUGUGUCGUGAGAUGUUGGGUUAAGUCCCGCAACGAGCGCAACCCUUUUCCUUAUUUGCCAGCGGGUUAAGCCGGGAACUUUAAGGAUUCUGCCAGUGACAAACUGGAGGAAGGCGGGGAAGACGUCAAGUCAUCAUGGCCCUUACGACCAGGGCUACACACGUGAUACAAUGGUCGGUACAAAGGGUUGGUACCUAGCGAUAGGAUGCUAAUCUCAAAAAGCCGAUCGUAGUCCGGAUUGGAGUAUGCAACUCGACUCCAUGAAGUCGGAAUCGUUAGUAAUCGCGGAUCAGAAUGUCCGCGGUGAAUACGUUCCCGGGCUUUGUACACACCGCCCGUCACACCAUGGGAAUUUGUUGCACCAGAAGUAGGUAGUCUAACCGCAAGGAGGACGCUUACCACGGUGUGGCCGAUGACUGGGGUG
rnacentral:rRNA from 1 species